AACUAAGCAGAGACCAUGAGCUGGGCAGAGGGCGGUGUCUGAGUCAGGAAGGGGUUUUGUGGCUGAAAAACUUGUAGCCACAAAAUAAUGGAGUCCUGAGCUGGACCUUGACAACAUAUGCAAGUUUCAUUUUGUCUGUACUAGACGUGUACAGUUUUGACCGACAAAAGAACAGGGGGAGGAGAAAGAAGGGGAAGGGCUAUGAGGUGAAAGGCAGAUCAGAAAUAAGCCCAGCUUGGAAGAAAGUGAGGAUCCCAACCUGGCAGAGAAAGAGGAGCUGAUGAAGGAGACUAGAGAAGGACCCGUCUGGAAAUACAGAACUUGGUCCAAGUAAAGGAGGACCUUGAAGGAAAUACACCUGAGAGACCAAAUGCAUACAAUGAAUCCAGCAAUUACCAACCACCAUGGGCGGACAGCAAAUGCUCAAACAACAAAACACCCAAGGAUGGGCGGCUGCUGGCUUCUGACUUUCCUCAUGGGGAUGGGGGUCCCAGAUCUGGGUCUAGGACUCCCUCCCACUUCUGUCCUGGGACAGCUGAUUUCAAUACUGCCAAAGACGUGGAACUUUUCUUAAGAAGGUUUGGUGGGUAAAUCCCCAUUUAGAAUAAAGGCCUAUUUCUUAUCCUCUGAGCUGGAUAAGCUAUUCAGGCAGAGAACAACCUUUGAAGUUAAGGGAAACUGUGCUAUCAAGCCAAACGUGAAAUAAAAUCAGAAGGGGACCCCUAAUGCAUUAUGGAAUACAACGCAGAAUUUGGCCGAAGGUGAUGCUAAUUUUCUGCUCUUGUCAAUGAAAAACAGACGCCAGGACGACUUGCUUGCAUUCAUCUGAAUCCACAUGGCAGCGUCAGAAAGCUGGUCUCAUGGAUCCAUGGAAAUAAUUUUGAUAACUUUAACUCCAUUUCCAGUUGCAGCAUAUUUUGCAUCAAAAAAUGUAUGGAGGAUGGAAGACCCUUUUCACGCAGCAGCUGGGACAGAGUAUUGCUCAGACACAGCCAGCCUGGUGAGCACAGGCAAACUGGACAUUGGAAGACCCAGCUGCACAAAGACUCCUUCCUGUGAGAGGCUUGGAGAAGACUUUGCUCUAGACACACAAGGGAGCCUGUGGGAAGGUGCCAGGGGAGCCAAGAAGAGCAAAACCAAGGAGGCAUUGUUUCCUCCAGAGCCUCAUUCAUCAACUCGCUCUGAACAGUUAGCACGCUCAGACAGUCAUCUUCUGCACCUUGCCUUUCCCUGUGUCUUGACUGAGGGCUUAUCUGAGAGCCUUUUGUUCAGGCUCAUAAUUAUUCAGUGACUCAGGAGCCCACAAGCAUUACCCACGGAGCCAGACAAGACCAGCAAGCUCUGAGGACCACCUGUUCCAAGUCAUUUCCUGUGUGGGCGGCAACUUCACAGGGCUGAAAAUACGAGUUACGGUAAAAAUGUCUUCAACCCUGGCGCGCUGGAUUGUUGAAACUCGAUGGAAUCUUGCUUGAUUAUGUUCAGGCCAGACACAUUUCAUUAUCAUUCUUUGCAUAUAUAUUAAAAACUCUAACCCCUUUACAAACAAAUGUUCUCAAGGGGCAGACAGCACACCCUUGCCUCAUGACAUUGCUCUAAUAGAGAAAACACCCCAGUGUUUCACCCAUUAGGUCAGAUCCACGAACACAGAGUGCAGUUGGGAAGGAUGUGGGCAGUAAUGAAGGUGGUGCUUUUUGCUCCUGUGGGUGCUAUGGACAGGUGAGGGUUCAAGGAUAUUAACAACAAAUUUUAAGCCAUACCUUACACUACAUUGGAGCUUAAUCAAAUUCUCUGUUCACAGUAUGCCUAAAUUGGCCAAUGGAACGGAAAAAAAAAAAAAAAGCAACCCACCCCCAAGAGUUAUUUAUGUCAUGUAGACAAAACCUGGGUUCGUUGACUGAUUAUUUCCACUCUCUAGUGAUGGUCGUUGCAUUUUCACUCUGAGUUGAAUUGCUGCAUUUUUCCAUAAAUAUAUCUGCUCCUCUGGAAGAAGCUUUGUUGCUUAGCCUUAUUGCCCUUCACGUCUGCCUUUCUGACCUCAUAGACUGUCAAGUUCUUAGUUGGUGACUAAAGUAUAAAAGUAAUUUCUUUCUCUCUUUUUUAAAAUUAUUAAAGCCACACAUGCUCACUACAGAAAAGUUAGAAUGUAGAUAUGUGUGAAGAAAAGAAAAAUUAGCCAUUAGGCCCACAAUCUAGGGAAAACUCAUUUUGGGCAUUUGGAUGGCUUUAAUAUGCAUUCACUAUUAAAUGAUGAAUAUGAUAUUAUACAUAGUAUACUAAUAUAUUAUGAUGAUGGAUCAGUGCUGAUGUGUUUUAACAUAAAUGUAUAUGUUAGUAAUGCUGCUGUUUUAUCUUAACAGUUUUUCAAACUUGCAUUGUUUUGCCCUUCAGCUAAAAGGGUAGGGAAUUUGCUAGGGAUAUAAAUUCAUUAAUCAUAAAAAUUAUGUCAUAACAGCCUGCACAGAAAUCACAAUAGGAUGCAGGACAUAGAUUAGACUAGAGUUGAGAUUCUUGCCCCAACCACAACUGUUCAGGCUUU
rnacentral:lncRNA from 1 species